rnacentral:rRNA from 1 species
AUUGAACGCUGGCGGCAGGCUUAACACAUGCAAGUCGAGCGGAGAUGAGGUGCUUGCACCUUAUCUUAGCGGCGGACGGGUGAGUAAUGCUUAGGAAUCUGCCUAUUAGUGGGGGACAACAUUCCGAAAGGAAUGCUAAUACCGCAUACGUCCUACGGGAGAAAGCAGGGGAUCUUCGGACCUUGCGCUAAUAGAUGAGCCUAAGUCGGAUUAGCUAGUUGGGGGGGUAAAGGCCUACCAAGGCGACGAUCUGUAGCGGGUCUGAGAGGAUGAUCCGCCACACUGGGACUGAGACACGGCCCAGACUCCUACGGGAGGCAGCAGUGGGGAAUAUUGGACAAUGGGGGAAACCCUGAUCCAGCCAUGCCGCGUGUGUGAAGAGGGCCUUAUGGUUGUAAAGCACUUUAAGCGAGGAGGAGGCUACUGAGACUAAUACUCUUGGAUAGUGGACGUUACUCGCAGAAUAAGCACCGGCUAACUCUGUGCCAGCCGCCGCAGUAACAC